UGUCGUUGUCGGAGCAGGGGUUGUCGUAGUCGGAGCUGAUGUUGUUGUAGUUGGAGCAGGUGUUGUGGUUGUAGGAGCAGGGGUUGUGGUUGUUGUAGCCGGGGUUGUUGUAGUGGGAGCCGGUGUUGUUGUUGUCGGAGCCGGAGUUGUUGUUGUCGGAGCCGGAGUUGUUGUAGUGGGAGCCGGUGUUGUCGUGGUUGGUGCCGGGGUUGUCGUAGUAG